UACAUAUCAGCCCCAAGACCAUACACCUAUUAACUAGUUAAAAUAGUGAACCGUGCCUUGAGCAAAAACAGCCAAACAACACCUGGCAAGCGAAAAAGGGUAUCUGCUUGGAAGAAAAAUAUGUUUGUCGUUUUUUCCAUUGGAAAAUUCCUUUUUAAAAAAAAAUUCGUUUCCGUUCUUCGCUCUUGUUUUUUUUUGUUUUUUUUUUUUUUUGUUUAUAACAAUAUCUGUUGCAAACCGGCAACCUCAAACUGAUCGUUUUAUGUUUUUAAUACGAAAAUACCGAUGUUUAAUUUUUUUUGGAAAUAUUCAUUUUUCGUGAAUCACCCGUGUGUUUAAUUAUUAUCAUAUCAUAACGUACGGACAAUUUAAAAAGAAAAAAAAAAAGAGAACGAAGAUUUUCCUUCCGCAUAAAUAGAAACUUCCCAACACUGCCUAGCGCUACCUAUUUCAUUCCUUUUUUUGUUUAUCAAACACUACAACAUUGUUAAAUUCAUUCAAACAAAUGUAGCAGUACACAUUUGUACUCUAUCUCCGAGUCAAGCCGAUGACAGUUCUGUAUAUUACGUAAUGUGUGUCUUUGAUGAAUCAAUGUCUUUCGUGGAAAACAAGAAACAAAACGUCUUUUUUCCUUCCCGGACACCCGUUUUUGCUUGACAACAUGAUUUCGUAUGGUUUUUUCGUUAAUAACAAAGAGUGUAAAAGGCACAGUCCACCGGUAAUUAAUAGGCCAAGAUGUUAUUUCGCGUACGGGAAACGCAUCGCCCGUGGCCAAUCGAUCGAAUUUUCCGCGGAGUACAUAUACAUAUUAUUCUUA